UACGGAGGGGGCGAGCGUUAUUCGGAAUUAUUGGGCGUAAAGGGCGCGUAGGCGGCGCGAUAAGUCAAAGGUGAAAUCCCUCGGCUCAACUGAGGAACUGCCUUUGAGACUGUCGAGCUUGUGGCCGGGAGGGGGUAGCGGAAUUCCCAGUGUAGCGGUGAAAUGCGUAGAUAUUGGGAGGAACACCAGUGGCGAAGGCGGCUACCUGGACCGGUUCUGACGCUGAUGCGCGAAAGCGUGGGUAGCAAACAGG
rnacentral:rRNA from 1 species